UGACAAAUAAGGAGAAUUAACAAUUACGGCUAAAGUCCACAUACUGUAUAAAUAUGUGCAUGGAUGAUCAAGAAGUUGCAUUGUCUCUCAAAACCUAAAAACUAUUACUCGAUCACCAUGUCUUUCGCAACCAGAAUGAUGACCAUUAUACUCUCUCUUCAAAUCAUUACAGCUUUUCUCUUUAUUACCGCCACAGCCUCAUCACCUCCCAGCGGCUUCACCAUGGACCUAAUCCACCGUCGCACUAAUUCAUCUUCUUCUCGACGCUCUAAUGUUGAUGGUCAACUCCGAUCAUCUCCUUACGCCGACGUCUUCUUUGAAACGUCCGAGUAUCUUAUGAAACUCAAAAUCGGUACACCUCCUGUCGAGAUCGACGCAGUCUUAGACACAGGAAGCGAGAUCAUAUGGACACAAUGUCUGCCUUGUCUUAACUGCUACAACCAACGCAAUAUAAUAUUCGACCCUUCGAAAUCCUCGACCUACAAAGCGAGAACAUGCAAUACCCGUAACCCUUCUUGUAACUAUAAUUUGGUCUACGGAGACCAAAGCUACACCAUAGGAAGCUUAGCAACCGAGACCGUCACCAUCCAAUCCACUUCUGGCCACUCCUAUGUAAUGCCUAAAACCGUUAUUGGAUGUUCGCACAACAGCUCAGGGUUUGUAACAACCGCUUCGGGCAUUGUUGGUCUAAGUUGGAUGUCUUUAUCUCUCAUCUCUCAGAUGGGUAAAGACAUGCUCGGUGCCUUUUCUUACUGCUUUUCGCCUGAGGGAACUAGUAAGAUCAGCUUUGGAAGUAAUGCUAUUGUGUCGGGAGAUGGGACUGUAUCAACACCUAUGUUUACGAAGACGGAGAAACCUGGUUUCUAUUACCUAAACCUAGACGCCGUCAGCGUUGGGGAGGCUCGCGUUGAAACAUUGGGGACUCCGUUUCAAGCCGUAGACGGGAACAUGUUGAUAGACUCUGGAACCACCUUCACCUACUUGCCCGCUAGCUACUGCAGCCUAGUGAGGGAGUCGGUGGAAAAGGUUGUGACUGCGGAACUAUUUACUACCUCCGACGGCACGCAUUGCUACAAAACGAAGACGAUGGAUAUCUUCCCAGUGAUCACAAUGCAUUUCUCUGCGGGUGCAGAUCUUGUUUUGGAUAGAAACAAUACUUAUAUGGCUAACGGAGAAACCAUUUGUCUGAUGAUUAUGUGUAGUCCAAUGACACCAGUUGCUGAAGCGGCCGUUUUUGGUAACAGAGCACAGAACAACUUCUUGGUUGGUUAUGAUCGUUCUUCAUUACAGUUUUCGUUUAAACCCACCGAUUGUGGAGUUACAGAAGACAAAAAACCAAGAGACUCAACUUCUGCAGCAUCGUUUUCACAGUUUAACAUUAAGUUUGUUUUAUUUAUAGUUGUCCUUUCACUAAUAAGACUAUAGAGAAUGGGUUUGUUUUAUUUUUAUAUGUCCUUUCAUUAAUAAUACCCUAGAUAAUGGAUUUGUUUUAUUUAUAUUUAGUCGUUUCUAAUAAUACCAUAGAGAAUGGAUUUGUUUUAUUUAGUUUGUCCUUUCAUUAAUAAGACCAGAGAGAAUGGAUUUGUUUUAACCAGCAUCAAUAUGCGAAUGAGUAGUUGAGUCGCACUCAUAAACGAAUAACAUAUGACCUUUUAGACAUCUCCGCCAUAAGUUUUCUCGCCUUUUCCAUUGAUGAUGUAGGAAAAUACUCCAUCUGAACCGAUACACACAUCCUUAAGCUUACAUCCAACAACUCUAAAUCUAGACCACAAGAUACAAGGCAAUCCUCUAAAUGCAUAAUUAUUGUUCAAGAGUUCCUCAUCUAUGUUAAACAUUAUAAAUAGCAUGAAGAAUCAUCACCAAAUGCAAAUUAAUAACCCCAUAUAAUACCCUUUCGAUGACUGAUUACAAUACUAUGAUUGAGAUAAUAAGCGGCAUGAUUCCAGUAUACAACAAGUUCAUCUUCUAAAUUCUAAUGCAUAGACACUGUUCAAUGUUUGACUCUUUUAAGAUUAGCAUUUUAAAUAGCAUCACCAAAACAGCCCCAAGCAGUAUCAUCAUAGAUAUGAAGCAUCAGCAUUGUUAUUAAGGAACACUGGAAACAUAUAUUUUCGAGAUACUAUACUUGGUGAUGAUUACAUGCCUCCAACCUAUAUUGAUUGAUCAUCAUCGCUAAGAUAAACAGUAAUUUUAGCUUCAUACCUCCAAACUAUGCCUCCAACAUUCACAGAAUGAGUCGAGACGGAGCAACUGAAUGUGCGAUUUUUCCUUGGCCAGCAAAAGUAGAUGUUAAAGUAAAUUGUGAACUUAUCGAAUCUGAUCAUUAAUGUUUAUCAUCUUUCUGUGAGUCAAAUGUAGGUUUAGAUAGUAAGAUUAUUUGAUAAAAGGAUAGAUAUCAUGAAAGUGGACUGAUCUUGAUCUGUUGUUAGAGUUUGAUACUUAUUUGCUAAGUUCCUUGAAUAGUUGUUUGGUUCUUGAUAGUAAACCUCAUGGAUCAUCACCCUAGUUAGCUUCAUUUUAAUCUGAUGAGUGUACAGUUAGUAAUAGCUUUUUUUCUUUUUGGGUCAACUCAGUUAGUAGUAGUUAAGACAAUGCCCACAAGUUAAGAGAUAUGGGCAAGCGAGGCGGCUUUGUAUUUUUUUUUUCCCUUCUUUCUCUAAGAACAUUGGAAUAUUUCUCGAGCUAUUUACACUGAAACACACAAUUCUCAUCCUCAAUAACACAAAGACACACAUAAUACUGGUUGCACACUUUGUAUCAUGGAAAACGCCUACUAUAUCCUUAACUAGACACCAAACUAAUUCACAUCUCUUACAACUUAUCCUGUUUUCCCUUAUUAUUCUCGAAACCAAUGUCCCCUAAAACCAAAAAAAAUCCCCCAUUUUUUUCAUAUCUCUUCCAACUCGAUUAUCUUGUCCCCUCCACUUUCAAUCUCUGGCGAAGCUUCGUCCCCUCCACUUGCAAUUUCCAGCAAAGCUUCGUCCCCUCCACUUUUGAUCUCUAGAAAACAACCAUAUCAUUGUGAUUCCUCCUACAUCCUGACCUCCGAACCUCACCUUUUAAACCUUAGUUGUAAAAAUCUAUGUCGCUCUCUUCCCUCACCAUGACCGUAUGUAAAAGAUAUUCAAUCAUCCAAGUUUUUUGUUGUGCAAUUAAUUUAUGUAAUUUUAUUUCUCACAACCGAUUUUCCAGGUCGCAUAGUGUAGAGUGGAGCAUUGGCGUCAACUAUCAACCGUUUAAAAGUAAGCUAGUCCAUCUAAAAUGGUGAGAGAUAUUUCAACUCUCCACAAACGUAUUAGUGGCUUUACACAAUAGCACCAGCGGAUUCGAGACCCAAUUAAUCAUUAUUAGUCAAUAUACGUUUCCUUACAAAUUUUAUUUUAUAGCAGACAAAAGUCAAGUGAAAGAGAGUAGGAUAACGGAAAGAAAAUCAAUUAUCUUCAUAAAAAUAAGGAUAAGAUCCAAAUACUAUUGGAUCAUGACAUCUACAUCUACACGUAAAAGAUAAUGAACCUAGAAGUUGUCGACAUAGAUGUGAAAAUGUCUCUAAUAAUGACACAUAUCUAUUAAUUUCAUUUAACACGUCUCUAUAAUCACUUCAUUCACUUUAAUGUAUGAUAAAAUAUUAAUCUAUUGAAUGUGUCAUACCCUUUUUAUUCGAAAAAUAAUUUAUUAUUGGCUCUUUUUAGGCUUGUUGUUGGUUAAUCACUGUAUUGCUUGCUCGACUUUCAUUGUGACAUUUGUGCCGUGAGAAAAUCACCUUUCUAAAUUUUGGAUAAGUCGACAAUUGAGACAGGGCCCAGGGCUCAUAAUAAUAUUUUCUUACUCUUGCAAUAUAAAUGAGGGUUAUGUAAGUAAAUACUCCCUCCGUUUUUUUUUUAAUAUAAAUCGUUUUGGAAAAAAAAUUAUGUUUUAAAUUAUAUGACGUUUUCGGUUUUCUAUAUAUAAUUUAUUAACACUUAAUGUUAUAUGAUCAAUGAUAAUAUACCUUCUAUUUUAUUAUUGGUUAAUUUGUGAUUAGAUAAAUAAUUAAUGAUGUUUUUGUUUAGAAAAUAUAAAAAUUUAAUAAUUUUCUUAAUCUAUGUGAUUAAAAAACGGAGGGAGUACUGUGUUAUAUUACAAAGAAUCUGUAUUAAAAAUAAGUUAAGCCUACUUAAGUCGUUUUUAUGAUAGCCAUUUUUUCAGAUUAUUCUAUUAAACAUGUAAAAUAAUAUCAAAUAUAACAAGGAUAAAACAAAUAUACUAAGUUAUUUUUACAAUAAAAACAUUAAAACAAAAUUAUAUAAGCUCCAUUCCAAUGUUAAAUUAUAUCAAAUAUAAUUAAAACCAUUGAAAAGGAUUAAAUAAAAAACUAACUGAAAAUAUUAAAACACAAAUUUAAAUAUAAAGCCUGUACAAAACUUAAAAUACAAAAAUUCUGUACAAAUCAUAUUUUGUUAAUUUAUAAAACACAAAAAUAUGAUCAAGCUGUAGUACUUUGUAUACUACAAGAAAUCUGUAUAAAAAAUAAGCUAAAGCAUAAUUGCGUGUAUGACUGUCACUAACUAUUUCUGUCAUUGUUAAUUAGUUUUGAUUUAGAAACUCAUAGGAAUUUAUUAUUAUUCUGUCUGAUCUAGAAAUUUUAAUGUUUAAAAGCUAGUUGAGAUAUAUUUAUGUUUUUUUUAUAAGUUAUGUAAAAUUAAUGUUUAGUCUGUUUUAUACUUUUAACAUAAUUUACUUUCAUUAAAACUCAACUUUUUUAAUACAACAGAGUGAAGGAAUUAACCGUCUUCUUUGAUAAUAAACACAAUAACAAAAUAAGAUGAUAGAAAAUUUGAGACAAAUCUCGUAUCUGUCGGAAUAACCUUCACGACAAAGUUGGAUAGCUGAAAGUUAGUCACAUAAAAUCAUGAUGUCGAGCCCCAGCUUUCACCUACAAAAAAAACUGAAGUAGUCUUGAUUGCAUCUCCUUGCCUCAAAUAUACCAUUCCACAAAAUGAAAAAUCGGUGAGGAAACUGAAACUGAAAUACACUUCUCCAUUUGGUUAAGCAUAUCGACAAAAACCUUUUGAAGUAAACUGAUUGCAAUAAGAGAAACAAUUCAAGAAAUAAUCUGAGAAUAUACUUCUUCUUUCAUAGAGAUGAGUUCUUUCAGUCAAGUGGAUAAAAAUUUUAUUAGUGAUGUUUUACAAAAAGAUGUUGGAAUAUGAUUAUAAUAAUAAUAAUAUUAUUACUAGUCACCAAAAAGAGUAACCACUUACAAAAUUUAGGAAAUUUGGAAAAGCUGAGAAAAUAAUUGUUAUGUAACGAUUAAUGGGUCUUCUAUGUUCGUUCACUCGAUCUGUGUGUUUCAUUCCUUCUGAUGGCUGGUGAAUUAUUAUUUUUUGAAAUCUUGUUAGUUUUGUUUAAUGAUUCUGCAAUCACUACAUGAUCUUUUCAUGUGCUUCGAUCUCAUUCACACAUAUUGCGAACCACUUGCUGCUAACUCACCCAUUAUUUGACUACUCUAGUCAAGCACGCCUAAUUCUAGAAAUCUAUCUUGAUAUGCCUCCAAAAUAAUUACACUUUGCUGAUAUAAUUAAUCAAAACAAUUAUUUCAAGUCUUUCAACAUGUACUAUAAAUUAAAUUGAUACAAUAGUGUCUAAUGCAAAAGAUAGUUGACUGAGUAGGUGUGUGUAUGACAGAAGUGAUUCCAUCAGUUCAACAACGAGGUAGUUAUAUUAAACUGUGGAUAAUAAACUAAUAUAAGUUAAAUUAGAUAACAGUAGUGAGCUAGGUGAACAUAAAGUUUUUAAAAAUUGCAUAAAAAUUAAGAAAGUUUAAAAAAUUGCAUAAAAAAAUUGGUAAUAAAAAAACAGGCUUUCGAGAGGCCUUCACGCGCCUUAUCGUUUUCCCUCUCAAGCUUUUUUUUUCCUUGUUUAUGAGGAGGUUUCUGGCUCCGGCAAGCUUUGCUGAUUCGUGUGGAGAUCUCCCUCCCUCUUUUUUUUUGGCAUAUGAUCUAUUAAACAGAACAGACGAGCUCUAGUUUAGAUCAGAGGCGCUUCUCUUCUUCUCCGAGCGUCGGUGGGUCCUCUGGUGCAGUGGUCCUUAAGAUAUAUCUGGUGCUUUAGUGACAUGUAGGAGUUGAUGGUGUAUUCACUGUUAGAGGAUGAUGGUGAGGCCAUCUGACUUCGUUAGUCAGUCAUCGGGCUGUGAAGUCUUGUCUUGAUUGUUGAGAGGUUUGUUGACGUCAUGCAACCCUGGGUGAUGGUGGUUCACUAGGUGAUGUUUUGACCGGUUUGAAGUUAGUGAACCGUGUAGACCCUCAGACCUGUGAAAUGGAGAGCCUCUGGAGAAACUGAGGCGUUUAGGAUUUUGGGAGUUGGAAUAUAUUUUGGGAUCUGGCGAUAAUUGGCUGUGGGACACCUCUAAAGGUGGGUACUCUAAAAAUAAACCAAUGACGGUCCACUUGCUGGUCUUGUACACGCCAGUCUUUGGAGAGAUCCGGACAGUUGGAAGUUUUGGCUAUCAGUGUUCAUUGGAGCAGUCAUUUAUGCAUUUUUCUCUUCUUCUCAUGCCCGAUUAGUUUCUUUUCUGCAUGUUUCAGUUUGCUUUAACUUUUUCCUGUAAUUUAGGUUCUAAUGUUUCUACGAAACACCGGAAAAUGCUUGUUGCCGAUACCUGUUUAUGGGUUAAAUUUAACGUAUUUACUAUUUAAAAAUUGGUUAUUGAAAUUUUUUUACUAGCAAGAAAAUUAGUGAGGAACAUUAUAAAUCCUUUAUCCACUUUAUAAGAUAUUUUGGCUAAAACACUAGGAUAAAAAAACUACAAAUACUUUCGUUUUCACAAGAAUUUUUCUUUUAUUUAAUAUUUAACUAAAAUUACUUAAUAAAAGCACAAACUUAAUCGGAAACUAUUAAGGUACAGAAUAUUAAAGAAGUAUCAAAUUUUCAAAAAAAAAUUGAAGAAGAAAACAUUAAAUAAAA